GGGUCAGUCGUCCAAUGGCAGGAUGGCGGUCUCCAAAACCGCAGAUCGGGGUUCGAGUCCCUGCUGGCCCGCCA
rnacentral:tRNA from 1 species